rnacentral:rRNA from 1 species
GAACGCUGGCGGCGUGCCUAAUACAUGCAAGUCGAGCGAACGGACGAGAAGCUUGCUUCUCUGGUGUUAGCGGCGGACGGGUGAGUAACACGUGGAUAACCUACCUAUAAGACUGGGAUAACUUCGGGAAACCGUAGCUAAUACCGGAUAAUAUUUUGAACCGCAUGGUUCAAAAGUGAAAGACGGUCUUGCUGUCACUUAUAGAUGGAUCCGCGCUGCAUUAGCUAGUUGGUAAGGUAACGGCUUACCAAGGCAACGAUGCAUAGCCGACCUGAGAGGGUGAUCGGCCACACUGGAACUGAGACACGGUCCAGACUCCUACGGGAGGCAGCAGUAGGGAAUCUUCCGCAAUGGGCGAAAGCCUGACGGAGCAACGCCGCGUGAGUGAUGAAGGUCUUCGGAUCGUAAAACUCUGUUAUUAGGGAAGAACAUAUGUGUAAGUAACUGUGCACAUCCUGACGGUACCUAAUCAGAAAGCCACGGCUAACUACGUG